rnacentral:lncRNA from 1 species
GAGCUCGGCUCGUUUAUUAUCGAAUCGAGCUCCGAACGAGCUUUUUCGAGCCGAAUCUCGAAUAGCUCGCGAGUAGCUCUGUUCAUUUACAGCCCUACAUAGUAUUAUCUAAUGAAUUAAUAUACUACUCUUUCCGUCUCACAAAAACAUGAACAUUUGUGAGUGGCACAAAUUUUAAGAAAUGCCAGAUAAAAGUGUAUUGUGAGUGAAAAAGAAGUCACACUUUAUGAAAAGUAGAGAUAUAAAGAAAAUGGAUUGUGGUGUGGUAGUGUACAAAAAUAGAAAUAUUAUAAAUAUAUAAUAUUUCAUUUACAAAAUUACUCUUGAAUUAAAAUUUAAUAAGUAAUCUAUAUUUUGUGCCGUGACACAUUUUUAUAUUAGUAUAGAUAUGACUUUUUUGUCAGAAUGAUUAAUUAAUUUGAUUUUAAUUCUUCUAAACCAUCUUAACGUCAUUAAUUGAAAGUGUAAUGCUUGAAUAUUUUUAUCUUCAAUAGUAUGUAGGAUUAAUUUCUCUAAUCCCUCAUUUUCAAUGGAAUAAGAAUUAAACAAAAUUAACUUAAUUAGAUGAUAGAAAUAAUCAAGAGCCUAGGAAUAUUUCAAAAUUUUAAUCCAUCAAAGUAAGUAAGAGUAAACUCUUACUUACUUGUUAAACCUACUUCUUGUAUCUAUUAAACCUACUUCUUCAAAGUAUUAAUCCAUCAAAAUUAGAUGAUAGAAAUAAUCAAGAGCCUUACUAUUUGUAUCUAUUAAACCUACUUCUUCAAAGUAUACGCCCUCUAAGAGUACAUAUGGUUAAUUGAAAGAAAACUAAGAAAUUCAAUCUUUCGUAAAUAUAGUAGUUUUAGUGAAGAGUAAGAAAGACAAAAAGAACAAGAGAAACUAGAGUAAUAUUGUUACAUCCCAAAAUAUUUACAUACAUAUACACUAUACACCCUGCUUGUGCUUGGGGCUUAGUCAAUGACAAUGAGGCUCAUAAUAAUAUAAUGCAACACAAUAAUUUCAAGAUCAAGGAUAGAUUUCGAUACAAAAUACUUUUCUGGGACUACGUAAGUAGAAACUUUUUCAAUUAAAAUGUAGGACUAUAUAUCUAGAAUGUUGUGAGUUAUCUAUAUAAUGGAAAAAUUGAGAUUAUUUUUUCAGGACGGAGGGAGAGAGUAUAUGAAAGUAGAAUUGCAACUUAAUUUGUGUAGGAAUGGGUACAUUAGUGAAAAAUAAAUCUUAGAUAUGACAAUACUGCAAUUUGUUUUGGCUGUAUAUAAGUAAAAUCAUUCAUUUCUAAAACCUUUAUAUUAGGUUUUGAUUGCGUGAAUUAUCAAAUUUUUGGGAGAUUAUAAUUAUACCAACUUCAUCAAGUACGGCAAGGAAAAUACAACAUGAUAGGGAAUUAAGUGUAUCACAGUUGUUUUGUGCUUAAAUGGAUUUAUAUUGUGAAAUGUGAUAUUUACUCGUACUCUAGUGAAAUCUAUAGAAAUAUAGAAGUUGAAUUAAGAAGAAUGGCCUGAACAAAAAUUAUAGAUCAUCUUGAUACGAGUUUGUGAGCGCAAACGGAUUGUAAAUCAGAAUUCGGACGAGCGAGAUAUGACCGAAACAAGAAAGUCACGCGCAACAAUUGAAUUCGACGACAUUUCGGCGAUCGCCGAUUUCGCUGUUUCCUCUGUUUUUUGUGGGGUUCGUAAAUUUCGUGGAGAAAACAAUGAAAUCGGCGAUCGGGAUUCAGAAUAGCGACCGCGCCGAUUUCCACUACUUUGCGCGAUUUUCUUUUUACGAUCAUAUCUCCUUCGUCUAAAUUUCGAUUUACAAUCCGUUUGCAUUCACGAACUCAUAUCGAGACAAUCUACAACUUUUAUUCAGUUCUUAAUUCAGCUUCUAUAUUUCUGUAGAUUUCACCAAAGUACAAGCAAGUAUCACAUUUCACAAUAUAAAAUUAUUUAAGCACAAAACAAUUAUGAUACACUCAAUUCUCUAUAAAAUUAAUAUUUUAAAAAUAUUAAAAACUAUAGAAUAGUGAGUGUUAUCAUAAAUAUAUCUCGCAAAUCACAUUUUUAAAUAUGAUUUUCGGUGACCAUCUACAGUCAAAGUUCUCUCUAGAGUUCUAAAUUUAUAAAAAUAAAAAGAAAGUAUUAAAUGCACGUUCAUUUACCCAUCAAUUAUAUAUUUACCAUGGUGAAGGAUAAAAUAGUAAAUUGAUUGAUGGAUGGUCAAGAUUGGUUUUCAAAUGAGAUUAUUAAUUAUUCAAACUAUUCAAUAUGAUAAUGUAUAUAUUGACAUGUAAUAUUUGUUUUAUCUAUUCAAAUUACUCCAUAUAAUAUGAUAAUUUAUUUGAUUACAAUAAUUAAUUUAUAUAAAUUAGUUAAAUUGCACGCUUUCUAUGCUAGUAUAUUACAAAUGAACAAUCAACAUAAAAACGAAGAUAUAUCCUUAUUCUUUAUUUAUGAGCAGCAAAGGUAAAAAAAAUAUAGAAUAGAAAAUAUAAUAGAUUAGUUACAGUAUAGAAUAUUAAUAAUAAUAAUAAUAAUAAUAAUAAUAAUAAUAAUAAUAAU